GCUGAGAUCAACACAACAUUUCGCAAGCAGGCAUUUGCAUUUGCGGGGUAGUACAACUGUGUCCUUUCAAGAGUCUAUAUGUUUUAUAGGCCUUUCCUGAGCGGUAAGAACAGGU
rnacentral:misc_RNA from 1 species